rnacentral:lncRNA from 1 species
CUCCCGGACCCAAUUAUUACUUAGACACUCAAUACUUCUCCCACCCUCUCACGCCUCCCACUCCGGCAGUUCACGGGGGCCUUUCAAAUCGUCUCCAAGCUUAAUGGUUAUUUGAUUCAUGAAAUCAAGGUCCAAAUGACACACAGAGAAGGGUCACCGGAGGUGGCGGUGGUGGUGACGGAGGUGUAGAAGGCGGCGACGGGGAGGAGGAAAAAGAGGAGCAUCGGAAGUUGGGGAUGGAUCUGACUCGUAAGGAUUGUAUCGUCAAGCGCAGGCUGCUCUACUCAGCUGCAACCCUCAUCCUCUGUGUCACUGUGUGUUAAUGCUGUGUUCUCCUUUUGUUUAUUUUUAUUUUUUAAUUUUUUAUUUAGUAGAGAGAGCAGAGGGAUCAUUUAGAGGCGAUGGAAGGUGCGGAUAGCACACGCGAGCGCGACAAGAUUAAGACUUCGUUCGUUUGAGAUUGCGAAAAGAUUACGUUACGUGCGGUGAGAAAGUACGUCAGAAAAAAUACCAUAUUUAUUUCCGUACGUAAUAUUACGUUGUUCCGCAUAUCGCGAUGAGUCGGUUACGAUAUAUUUUCUACGAUCUCACCGGAAAAUGCAAAAACAUAUUCCUAUAUGCUUUUUCCUCAACUCCAUUUUAUCUAAUAGCGUUAGAUAGAGAGUUCACCCAUGCAUUGCAAAGAAGAAUUUGGGGUAUGAGGUGGAAUAUUCAAGAU